AUUGAACGCUGGCGGCAGGCCUAACACAUGCAAGUCGAACGAGUGGCGGACGGGUGAGUAAUGUAUGGGAACGUGCCUGAUGGAGGGGGAUAACUACUGGAAACGGUAGCUAAUACCGCAUAUCAUCGGAUGUGCCCAGAUUGGAUUAGCUGGUGGGCGGGGUAACGGCUCACCUAGGCGACGAUCACUAGCCGGUCUGAGAGGAUGACCGGCCACACUGGAACUGAGACACGGUCCAGACUCCUACGGGAGGCAGCAGUGGGGAAUAUUGGACAAUGGGCGCAAGCCUGAUACAGCCAUGCCGCGUGUAUGAAGAAGGCCUUCGGGUUGUAAAGUACUUUCAUCGGGGAGGCGUUACCUGAAGAAGAAGCACCGGCUAACUCCGUGCCAGCAGCCGCGGUAAUAC
rnacentral:rRNA from 1 species